UGCUGGUUGACAUCACUGAAACUUCAGUUGUAAGGCAUUUAAAAAAAAAAAAAAACAUUUUGCUUUUUGGUUCUUUCUAAAUUGGAUUCUUGGCUUCAGGAGUGCCUAUUGUUUUCAGUAGCCAUAGGAACAGUGCCAAAAUCAAGGUUACUCUUUUGUUACUUCUGUUCACCGCUUCUUUGUUUACAUCCUCCUAAGUUACAUAAGCUUUCCUGAUCGUAGCAAUGCAUGGGGAACUCCUCUCUUAGUAAAAUGCUUUGCGUGCUUUACCAGCACUGAAAAGAAAAAUAGUUAUAAUUGUGGAAGGUGGUUUUAAUGGUGGCCAUCAAAAAUAUCUUGGAUGUAGAAGCCAUUGCAGACUUUGCUGAUGGUUGUCUAACUGUCCAUUGUGUGUAUAUAUAUAUGUAUAUACACAAACACAUGGAAAAAAGAAUCACAACAGUUAAGCUAUGCCAGCUGAGAUAUUUCACACUGGACAGCUGUAAAUGCGAGAACUAGAAAAGCAUUUGAUUGCAGCUUUUGCCUACCUGAGGAAAAAGAAUUUGAAAAGCUCUUAAGAGCCCAACAGUGAAACUUCUGAAGAAUGAUUAUCUUCCCUCUCCUUUUGGGCCAAGCUGAGAGAAGAAAAGCAAGUAGGAUGCGGGUCCACUGAUAAAGCAAAAGAGAGGAAGAGUCCAGCUACUUCCCCUUAAAAUUACACUGAAAGUUACACAGUGCCACCAGCAUGCAGAAUCCCUUUCCAUGAUACUGUGCUCUGAGUAAGUCAAAAGAAUGCAGGGGAAAGGCUGAAACAAUUCCACUUAGAAGGAGGUUACAAACAGGCUGAGUAUUGCAGCUGGCUGGAAGAAGUUUGUGUUCUGCAGGGCUAAGGUUUGACACCAAAGCAAGACCUGAUGCCACAGGGAUCAUCAGAAUCUAGUAAACAGAAAUAUCUAAGAAGAGCAGAUGCACAUUGUGUCUUCUAGGCAUCCUCUCAGUGGCAUGGUUGAAAUCCAGAUUCUGAUCACACAAGAUUCAGCCCAGAAGGGGAACUGCAUCCUGGGUUGCGUACCAGAAGGUCAAGGGAGGUGAUUCUGCUCCUCUACUCUGCUUUCAUGAGACUCCACCUGGACUAUUGCGUCAAGUUCUGGAGCCUCCAAUGUAAGAAGGACAUUGAGCUGUUGGAGCAGGUCCAGAGGAGGGAUACAAAGAUGAUCAGAAGGCUGGAGCACCUCCCCUGCAAGAACAGGCUGAGAGAGCUGGGGCUCUUCAGCCUGGAGAAGAGAAGGCUCCAUGCAGACCUUUUAGCAGCCUUCCAGUACCUGAAAGGGGCUUACAGGAAAGCUGGGGAGGAACUGUUUAUAAGAACAGGUAGCAACAGAAAAAGAGGAAAUGGUUUGAAACUGGAAGAGGUUAGAUUUAUAAAUAGAUAUCAGGAAGAAAUUAUUUACUGUGAGGAUGGUGAGACACUGGAACAAGUUGCCCAGGAGGUUGUGAAUGCCCCCUCCCUGGAAGCAUUCAAGGCCAGGCUGGAUGGGGCUUUGAGCAACCUGGUCUAGUGGGUGGUAUCCAUGCCUAUAGCAGGUGGGUUGGAACUAGAUGAUCUUAAAGGUCCCUUCCAACCCAAACCAUUCUAUGAUUCCAUGAUUCUAACAAAGAAAGGAAUAUAUUUUCUUUCAUCAUCCUUCUUGCUCUUUUUUUCUCUUUUGAACUAGAUUCCCAAUGUAGGCCAGAGGAAACUUUAUUUAUAUCCCUGCAAUUCAAGGCCCACAAACCAAUUCAUCAUGUUCCUGUUUUAUCUCAUCUGCUGUAAAG
ensembl:lncRNA